AGGGACCGAGCUGUGGACCUUUUGGCGGCUGUGACUCAGGAAGCAAAGCGGGUCAUCCACUAACUAGAAGGUGGAACUACUGGAUGAAGCUCUGAACGACCUUGGCUCUGUUUCCUGGAAAACCAGCAUAAUAUGGAUGACUGGCUGGGUGGAUGGAUUAUUGCCCGGUAGGAUGGACACUGUAUGUCAACAAGAGACACCUGGCGGAAGGGGAAAUCCCUGUUGAGCUUCAGCGCAGGUCUUUCCUCUGCACCUCUGCAGCGUCUUGUGUCAGAAUCUGUGAAUGGGAAUUGCUAGAGAACCCCUGCUGUUUGAUUCUAAAGAGGGUGGGAAAGUUGUUUUCUGUCUCUAAGCUCAUUGUUUGUUUCUCCUCAAGGGCUUUUUUACCUCUCGCCCGUCCCCCUCCCCCCCCUCCUCACCCAUCUCUCCCAGUCUCACCUGUUCCCCCCCCCCCUUUUCUGCUGACAAGGAGUUCUGCUGUUUACUGCCUAAAAGCUGUCAAGGAAAGUGGGCGCCUUUUGAUUUUGAGGAUUGUUUUCUACAUUGACAUCUCUACCUGUGUUUAGUAAUGUUCUCCUUCAGAGCAUCGUAUGCCUGGAUGCUGACUAGUGUGGCACCCACCAGCGCCAAAGCUCUUUCUGUCUGCUCUCUCUGUGCAUAAAAAAGACACAGAGCCUGUCUCAGCCAAGUCCCUCAACAAGGAUUAGAUAUUGUCAUCUUUUAUCAGCCGUCAUUUCUUUGCCAAGCUCUGACAGUCUCUCAGGGGCUGCCAUUUGCUUUAACAUAUUUCUCUCUCCCUAUCUGUGUGUGUCUGUGGAUGUGUGUGUGUAGCCCCAUGCGGCUUUUACAUAUCUUUACACCCAUUCUUGUAUUUUUAGUGAUUACAUCUAGAAGCAGAUUUUGAGUCAUCUUCAAGAUAACCUUUCCCUGAGGUGGUUUCACACUUUAAAUCUUAUGGACUUAACAGUUUGCAUUUAUUCAACAUUGGCAGCAGCCCGGUGAGUCUUAACUUCAGUAGCAGGGUUAAAGUAGUAAAAAACCAUGACAGAUAUAAAGGGGGUAGCCUACACUGAAAACCGGCAAGAAGAGAGAAAUGAGGAAGUACUACUUAUGCUGUCAAACUGUAAAGAAAAGAGGAAACAUGAGGAGGUGCAGGAAUAAUCAGUGAAUACGAGAGGGACAGUUUCUAACAAUGAAACAGGGACCGACCCAGUGAUGAUGUCUUUUGACUAGAUUUUCAAGGAUUAUUCGAUUAAAUCACUUUAUCAUUAAACAGAAAAUAUAUCAGCAAUGAUGUUUUCAUAGAUUGAUCGCUGCAGUUAUUUCUUAAGCAAAAAUGCCAAAUGUUCUGUGGUUUCAUCUCCUCAAAUAAAACGGUGAUAGUGCAUUUCUUUGUCUUCUACUGUGUAUAACAAUUUGGUAUCUUUUUUGUUUUUUGAUGAAUAGCAAGCUGAUAAUAGUGAAUUGUAUCCCUUUUUUAACUUUAUCAUCUAAAUGAAUCACCAAGAUGUUAAUAAAUAAUGAAAAUGGUAAUUUAUGUACCAGCCUUUGGCAUCAAUAAUAGUAAUUAGUUUUUCGUGAUAUAAAGUAAUGCUUCUUGGUUUUAAAGCUUUGUCUGGAACAUGUGAGGGCGUCUACCAGGUUUUGUCUCGCUGAUUAUGAAACAUAUCCAACUUCCACUAGACUGUGCAGCCAACCAAUAAAAUGAUGAAGCUUUUUCUAUGUUUACAGUGA